rfam:Gossypium hirsutum cultivar TM-1 chromosome 25, whole genome shotgun sequence
AUUUCGUGAUGAGGGCAUCUUCGUAAUAGUUCUUUAAACCUUUACCAUGCCUCAUAUAAGGACUUUUCAUCCAAUUAUUGGAACAUAGUAAUCUCGUUCCUCAACUU